rnacentral:rRNA from 1 species
UACGAAGGGAGCUAGCGUUGUUCGGAAUCACUGGGCGUAAAGCGCACGUAGGCGGAUUGUUAAGUCAGGGGUGAAAUCCUGGAGCUCAACUCCAGAACUGCCUUUGAUACUGGCGAUCUCGAGUCCGGGAGAGGUGAGUGGAACUGCGAGUGUAGAGGUGAAAUUCGUAGAUAUUCGCAAGAACACCAGUGGCGAAGGCGGCUCACUGGCCCGGUACUGACGCUGAGGUGCGAAAGCGUGGGGAGCAAACAGG